AUCCUAGUGGCCUAAUUAAUAAGGCGUCGGUCUCCGGAGCCGAAGAUAGCGGGUUCGAGUCCCGCCAGGAUU
rnacentral:tRNA from 1 species